rnacentral:misc_RNA from 1 species
GAUGAAGAACGCAGCGAAAUGCGAUAAGUAAUGUGAAUUGCAGAAUUCCGUGAAUCAUCGAAUCUUUGAACGCACAUUGCGCCCCCUGGCAUUCCGGGGGGGCAUGCCUGUCCGAGCGUCAUUUCUGCCCUCCAGCCCGGCUGGGUGUUGGGCGCUGUCCCCCCGGGGACACGCCCCAAAGGCAGUGGCGGCGCCGCGUCGGGUCCUCGAGCGUAUGGGGCUUUGUCACCCGCUCGGGACGGACUCGUCGGCGCUGGUCUUCCUCCAGGCGACCCUUCGGGGCUCGUCUUCCUUCGGUUGACCUCGGAUCAGGUAGGGUUACCCGCUGAACUUAAGCAUAUCAAUAAGCGGAGGA